UACGGAGGGUGCUAGCGUUGUUCGGAAUUACUGGGCGUAAAGGGCGCGUAGGCGGCCGUUUGCGUCGGAUGUGAAAGCCCGGGGCUCAACCUCGGAACGGCAUUCGAUACGGGACGGCUGGAGACCGGGAGAGGAGAGUGGAAUAGCCAGUGUAGAGGUGAAAUGCGCAGAUAUCAGGAAGAACACCCGUGGCGAAGGCGGCUUUCUGGACGAUAACUGACGCUGAGACGCGAAAGCGUGGGGAGCAAACAGG
rnacentral:rRNA from 1 species